CCGGCCGCCGCGAGCUCCGCACUUACCCGGGCCGCGGCGAGGUGUCGGCGGGCGGGCUCCGGCACGCCGCUACUGCGGGGGGCCGGGGGGGCCGGGUGUGUUUGGGGGGGUCCGUAAUCCGACAGGCUUUGGGCAGCCAAAUGUAAACACUCCGCCAUGAUUUCUUUGUUUAGAUAAUUGAACCUGCCUCCCUCUCCCUCGCCGACUCUCGCUCGCUUUUAUUUAUUUAUUUCCCCCCCCUCCCGUCAGCAUCAUCAUCAUCGUUAUGGCUUGUGUGGGGUGUUUUUUUUUUGUUUUUUUUUUUUUUUUUUUUUUUUUCCGUUAAAGGGUUGUUAUUUAAUAGCUGGAUGUGACAAUAGCCGGAUACUCAUAUAUCCGCGGAUAAUAAACAUUUAUAUCUGAGCACAUCCACGGGGGCAGGCGGGAGGCGUUACUCAGGGUGGGCAGCCCCCAGCCCGGUGCUUCACCUGGGGCCGGGGCCGGGAUUGGGGGGGGGGCACACGCGGGCAGCUCAGCUCCCAGCACGGCGCCCGGUCGGCGGGAGCGAUGGAAACUUCCAGAUCCCAGCCCCUGCACUGCGUUUCUGCACAACUCGGCCCCAGCUGCGUCAAGUUUCUCCAGUUGGAAACAUGGGAGUGUUUCCAGUUUCAGUACUGCUUGACUUCAGAGCACCUCAUGAGGGGCUCCCGGUGCCCACGGAGCAUCCCUUCUGAAAGACAGGUGAUGCUUCCCAGGACUCCCAUAGAAGCGUCCUGGGAGAAGGCAGGAGCUGUGCCCUGCUCUCCGGCCCCGCAUCGCCCACAGCGUUCACCCCCAGGGCUGCAGGCACCGUGCCACUCACCCAGGGGCCUUGGUGAAGACUCUGGAGGUCUUCAGGUGCUGGGAAAUGUGCAGCGCUUCAGGAGCUACCCUUGCUGCUGA
rnacentral:lncRNA from 1 species